GACGAACGCUGGCGGCGUGCUUAACACAUGCAAGUCGAGCGGUAAGGCCCUUUCGGGGGUACACGAGCGGCGAACGGGUGAGUAACACGUGGGUGACCUGCCCUCAGCUCUGGGAUAAGCCCGGGAAACUGGGUCUAAUACUGGAUAUGACUCCACGGUGCAUGUCGUGGGGUGGAAAGCCUUGUGCGGCUGAGGAUGGGCCCGCGGCCUAUCAGCUUGUUGGUGGGGUGAUGGCCACCAAGGCGACGACGGGUAGCCGGCCUGAGAGGGCGACCGGCCACACUGGGACUGAGACACGGCCCAGACUCCUACGGGAGGCAGCAGUGGGGAAUCUUGCGCAAUGGGCGAAAGCCUGACGCAGCGACGCCGCGUGAGGGAUGACGGCCUC
rnacentral:rRNA from 1 species